rnacentral:tRNA from 1 species
GCCGCUAUAUCUCAGUGGUAGAGCAUUGGUCUCGUAAACCAGGGGUCGUGAGUUCAAACCUCAUUGGCGGCA